rnacentral:rRNA from 1 species
CGAGGGGCAGCGGUGGUGAAGGCUUGCCUUCACCAGCCGGCGACCGGCGCACGGGUGAGUAACACGUAUGCAACCUGCCUGCCACAGCCGGAUAAUCGGGAGAAAUCCCGUCUAAUACGGCAUAAUGCAUCGACGGGACAUCCUGUUGGUGCCAAAGGUUAAUUCCGGUGGCGGAUGGGCAUGCGUCGCAUUAGUUAGUUGGCGGUGUAACGGACCACCAAGACGACGAUGCGUAGGGGUUCUGAGAGGAAGGUCCCCCACACUGGUACUGAGACACGGACCAGACUCCUACGGGAGGCAGCAGUGAGGAAUAUUGGUCAAUGGGCGGGAGCCUGAACCAGCCAAGUCGCGUGAGGGAUGACGGCCCUAUGGGUUGUAAACCUCUUUUGCCGGGGAGCAAAGUGCCGCACGUGUGCGGUUUGGAGAGUACCCGGAGAAAAAGCAUCGGCUAACUCCGUGCCAGCAGCCGCGGUAAUACGGAGGAUGCGAGCGUUAUCCGGAUUUAUUGGGUUUAAAGGGUGCGUAGGCGGACGCUUAAGUCAGCGGUAAAAUUGCGGGGCUCAACCUCGUCGAGCCGUUGAAACUGGGUGCCUUGAGUGGGCGAGAAGUACGCGGAAUGCGUGGUGUAGCGGUGAAAUGCAUAGAUAUCACGCAGAACUCCGAUUGCGAAGGCAGCGUACCGGCGCCCAACUGACGCUGAAGCACGAAGGCGUGGGUAUCGAACAGGAUUAGAUACCCUGGUAGUC